AGCGCCCUCGUGUGUGAGGAGGCCGCCUAGCACGCCUUGGGCUCGCUGGGAGACCGUGCUCUGGAGACUCAGGUGCCAGCCGCCUGAGGUGCAGACCUAGUGACCUGUGGUUUCUGUGGCUUUGAAGUGAGGAAUGGUGUCUCACUUUGUUGCACAGGCUGGCCUUGAACUUGGAAUCCUCCUGCCUCAGCCUUCUAAGUAGCAGGGAUUACAGUUGUGCGUGUGCCAUAACACACAGGUGUUUCUCUCACAGCUCAUCCACUUCCUCAUCGUGAAGUUCAAGAGACAUGCUGUACUGACCACAGCGUAGUCAGCAACUCUCUCAGGUGGUCCUCCCAAAUGGUGCCAGUUGCUCCUUCAUCAAAGCAACUGAGACCUGUGGUGCACGCCUGUAAUCCCAGCAACUGUGGAGUCUGAGGAUAAAGCCAACAGUCGGGAUAUACUUUAACACUACUGAAGCGUACUCUUAAAAUGGUAAGAUGGUAGGUUUUAUGUGUUUCUCACAACAAUUUUGUUUAAAAAAAAAAAAAGGGCUGGGGUUGCCUAGCAUGUACAAAGCCCUGGGUUCUAUUUCUGCCCCCCUCCAAGGGGAAAAAAGUGCUUAGCUGAGGAUGACACUUACUCAGCCUCACUUAUUCCUUUGUCCUUCCUAGUUCCCGACUACACACGCUUCUCUUGCUUCCAUGUUUCCCUUCAUCAGCAGGCUCGUACCUGUGCAUUUUCAAGGCAGCUCAGCUUCAUUUCCUUUUUCCAUGAGAUUGGAUGUCUAGACAAAUAGACUUUCCCUCACAGCUGCUCCCAGAAGACUGACUAGUAACUGCUGACUAAACAGGUCCUUUUCACCAUGAGCAAAAAAGCACACAGGGCAGCCUGUUUCUUCUUUGUGUCCCAUCUCAUGUGGCAACCCCUCAGAUUAUGUGUUGAAUGAACAAAUAAGAGUCGAAUUGACAUGGGUCACAUUUUGGAUUUAGUAGAUUAGUCCAGAUUUUCAAAAUAAUUUUUAGAACCA